GCGAAAGCGGAUGAGGCUAAACCGCGUCUGUGUGAUACCCGGCAGGGGUUGCAUUCGCGGGGUCGUGGGACCUCUUGGUCAGUUCUGCCGAACUGGCAACGAGUCAGAAAAUACUGUGGUUAGAGGAAUACGUCUGGAAAGCGUGAGCGUAGAGGGUGAAACUCCCGUACUCGAAAAUCCGGUAUCUCGUUAGAGUGUUCCCAAGUAGCAGCGUACUCGUGAAAUUCGCUGUGAAUCUGGCGGGACCACCCGCUAAGCCUAAAUACUCCCUGGUGACCGAUAGCGGAC
rnacentral:ncRNA from 1 species